GAUGAAGAACGUAGCGAAAUGCGAUACGUAAUGUGAAUUGCAGAAUUCAGUGAAUCAUCGAAUCUUUGAACGCAUAUUGCGCUCUCUGGUAUUCCGGAGAGCAUGCUUGUUUGAGUAUCAGUAAACACCUCAACUUCCAUAUCUUUUUUGAAAUGGGAGUUGGACUUGAGUGAUCCCAACGCUUUUCCUCACCGAAAAGUGGCGGGUUACUUGAAAUGCAGGUGCAGCUGGACUUUUCUCUGAGCUAUAAGCAUAUCUAUUUAGUCUGCCUAAAAAACAGAUUAUUACCUUUGCUGCAGCUAACAUAAAGGAGAUUAGUUCUUGUGCUGACUGAUGCAGGAUUCACAAAGACGGCUUCGGCCGACUUUGUAAACUCGAUCUCAAAUCAAGUAAGACUACCCGCUGAACUUAAGCAUAUCAAUAAGCGGAAGA
rnacentral:misc_RNA from 1 species